rnacentral:piRNA from 2 species
UGCUCUGUCCGUGGAGAUGCAAGUGCCUU